rnacentral:rRNA from 1 species
UACGAAGGGGGCUAGCGUUGCUCGGAAUCACUGGGCGUAAAGCGCACGUAGGCGGAUCUUUAAGUCAGGGGUGAAAUCCCAAGGCUCAACCUUGGAACUGCCUUUGAUACUGGGGAUCUCGAGUCCGGAAGAGGCGAGUGGAAUUCCUGGUGUAGCGGUGAAAUGCGCAGAUAUCAGGAGGAACACCAAUGGCGAAGGCAGCUCGCUGGGACGGUACUGACACUGAGACGCGAAAUCGUGGGGAGCAAACAGG